UACGUAGGGUGCGAGCGUUGUCCGGAAUUAUUGGGCGUAAAGAGCUCGUAGGCGGUCUGUCGCGUCGAUCGUGAAAAACUUGGGGCUUAACCCUGAGCUUGCGGUCGAUACGGGCAGACUAGAGUUCGGUAGGGGAGACUGGAAUUCCUGGUGUAGCGGUGAAAUGCGCAGAUAUCGGGAGGAACACCAAUGGCGAAGGCAGCUCGCUGGGACGUUACUGACGCUGAGACGCGAAAGCGUGGGGAGCAAACAGG
rnacentral:rRNA from 1 species